CUGAAACUCAACCACUGCCAUUUUCCACACUGGUUUCUCUCAAUUUCAUUAAUGGAAUCCUCUUUGCAGGCCGCACGGAACAGGAUUUAGCAAGAUUAAUGAAAGUGAACAGUGGAUUACCAGGAGGAGCGGCAGAGAGGUGCUGUCUAGCAAGAGCAAGGGAAUAACCACUAAUGUCUCAGCUCUGCUGCUAUAAGAUCUUCACAGUAUAUAGCCCUGGUAAUGUCAGACAUGGAAAGAGGAGGACUGAACUUCAUAUGGUACAUUUCUGACCUGUCUUCACUGAGAAGCAAGAAGUAAUUUCCACUGUGAUGCAGCAGUUUUCAAAAAGAACUUUGAAAUUUUUGAAGUGAAGCUGCAGUCAAGCUGCACAUAUGGACCCUUCCUAAAAAUACCCGACGGAGACCUACUUACAAAACUGGUGACUUUGUUGAUAUUAUGGAGAAACAGUACUGUGUAACUAGAGAAAUCCUAAAAUAGAGAAUUAGAAUCUUUACCAUCAACUUCAAAGUUGACCCAAAGGCACAAGGAAGGAAAGCAAAACAAAAAAGUUAACACAGUCUAAGGAUUACCUCUUUUCUGCUGGAAACAGAAAGGAAACCUGCUGGAAACCUGCUCUUACUCAUCUGAUCAAAGCUGCUAUAUAUGGUUCUUUUACUGUAGCAGACUACAGAACGAUGAGCUUUUGGCUGAGUAGGGAGAUGGAUAACUUUGUACAGCUCUCAGACUGUUCUGUCCCAAGUUAUUUGUGCAAUCCAUCUGCAGCUUGGUUCUUCCUUUCCUUACCUGCAUGUUAUAGACAGCAUUUUACUGAUGCAUAAAAAGACCUUAAAAGGAGUGACAAAGACAGGGCCAGUAAUAUAUUGUAAAUACACAAAAAAAAAUAAGAGACGUACUAGAAUUUGCAAAAACAUGGAAAACUUAGAGAACAGUUAGAGCAGAAUUCUCAUAUAUCUAUGUCCUGUGUUGUAUUCAUGCUGUCAUCUUUUCGCAUUAUAAAAUAUGAAGCAAUUUGCUGAUUUAUUUGGGACAUCAUCUGCUUGCUACUUAGGCAUGACAUUGUGAACAACUGCACAGCAGGAGAAAAGUAGAACCAUAAAUGAACUGCAGCAGGUAGGCUGCAUCCAGGCAUCACAACACCAGCAGCAAUAGGAACUUACUGAGCGAAAUACUUAGCAAACAAUGUAAGACAUAAUUUUUAGUUACCAAGAAAGUAAAAUUAAGUCACUCUGAAAUUACAAACCCUG
ensembl:lncRNA